rnacentral:rRNA from 1 species
UUCAAUACUGUCAUCUCGCGAUAAUGGUGUGCACUUUUCUCUUAGUAAGACGUUGUGAUCCAUUAGGAAUUGAUGUAUGUCUUAUGACAUCGUUGUGCUACCAAUAGACUGGCAUUGAAGUUCAUCCAGGCAAAUGGCGCGAUCUUUUGGUUGUGCGUAUUGACGGGUGAGCGUGCCAUGCACUGAUGUAGCUGCCUGAUGGGUUUUAAAGGUCGUAUCAUUGAUGCUUGUUCAUCACCGAUUUUUUUAAUUGGAUUUAAGAUAUGUACCCGAUCAACAACGGUUUCAUUUGGGAUACCUUUGGGACCCGUCUUGAAACACGGACCAAGGAGUCUAUCUAGUAUGCAAGUAAGUGGGACUAACGAACUAAACCUAUUUGCGUAAAUAACUUGACUGUUAUUCCAAUGGGAUUACGUACACACACAUUUAUUUGAGUGUGCACCUCCAUCCCGGGGUAUUUUCAUAACAUAUGCGGGGGCUUGCUCUCGCAUAUAGAAAAUAUACCAUGAGCAUACUGGACAUGACCCGAAAGAUGGUGAACUAUGCCUGAUCAGGUUGAAGUCAGGGGAAACCCUGAUGGAGGACCGAAGCAAUUCUGACGUGCAAAUCG